AGAGUUUGAUCAUGGCUCAGGAUGAACGCUGGCGGCGUGCUUAACACAUGCAAGUCGAACGGAGUUAAGAUGAAACCUGGUGAUUCUUAACUUAGUGGCGGACGGGUGAGUAACGCGUGGGUAACCUGCCGUAUACAGGGGGAUAACACUUAGAAAUAGGUGCUAAAACCGCAUAAGCGCACAGCUUCGCAUGAAGCAGUGUGAAAAACUCCGGUGGUAUACGAUGGAUCCGCGUCUGAUUAGCCAGUUGGCAGGGUAACGGCCUACCAAAGCGACGAUCAGUAGCCGGCCUGAGAGGGUGAACGGCCACAUUGGGACUGAGACACGGCCCAAACUCCUACGGGAGGCAGCAGUGGGGAAUAUUGCACAAUGGGGGAAACCCUGAUGCAGCGACGCCGCGUGAGUGAAGAAGUGUUUCGGUAUGUAAAGCUCUAUCAGCAGGGAAGAAAAUGACGGUACCUGAGAAAGAAGCCCCGGCUAACUACGUGCCAGCAGCCGCGGUAAUACGUAGGGGGCAAGCGUUAUCCGGAUUUACUGGGUGUAAAGGGAGCGUAGACGGUUGUGCAAGUCUGGAGUGAAAUGCGGGGGCUCAACCCCUGAACUGCUUUGGAAACUGUGUAACUGGAGUGCAGGAGAGGUAAGUGGAAUUCCUAGUGUAGCGGUGAAAUGCGUAGAUAUUAGGAGGAACACCAGUGGCGAAGGCGGCUUACUGGACUGUAACUGACGUUGAGGCUCGAAAGCGUGGGGAGCAAACAGGAUUAGAUACCCUGGUAGUCCACGCCGUAAACGAUGAUUACCAG
rnacentral:rRNA from 1 species